rnacentral:sRNA from 1 species
GCCAGGUGUGGUGGCGCACACCUGUAGUCCCAGUGGCUUAGGAGGCUAAGGCAGGAGGAUUGUGAGUUCAAAGCCAGCCUCAG